CCUUUGUACACACCGCCCGUCGCUACUACCGAUUGAAUGGCUCAGUGAGGCUUUGGGACUGGCUCAGGAGGGUUGGCAACGACCCCCCAGAGCCGGAAACUUAGUCAAACUCGGUCAUUUAGAGG
rnacentral:rRNA from 1 species